AAUUUUUGAUUUUUAAUGAAAAUCUGAUGUUAAAAAUUGUGUACGGUAUGGGUAUAAGGCUUACUAUCGGGUCAGGUCAACCUGAAAAUUUCAGGUCAGGUCAAUUAAAAUCAUGACCUGAAAUGACCUGAAACCUGAAUUUGACCUGAUAACUUGACCUGAAUAUUAUCAGGUUGACAUGAUAUUUUUCAAGUUUUUUCUGAAUUAGUUUAGUUAACAUAAAAU